rnacentral:rRNA from 3 species
AAUCCAUAGGUUAAUGAGGCGAACCGGGGGAACUGAAACAUCUAAGUACCCCGAGGAAAAGAAAUCAACCGAGAUUCCCCCAGUAGCGGCGAGCGAACGGGGAGGAGCCCAGAGCCUGAAUCAGCAUGUGUGUUAGUGGAAGCGUCUGGAAAGGCGCGCGAUACAGGGUGACAGCCCCGUACACAAAAGCGCAUGUGCUGUGAGCUCGAUGAGUAGGGCGGGACACGUGGUAUCCUGUCUGAAUAUGGGGGGACCAUCCUCCAAGGCUAAAUACUCCUGACUGACCGAUAGUGAACCAGUACCGUGAGGGAAAGGCGAAAAGAACCCCGGCGAGGGGAGUGAAAAAGAACCUGAAACCGUGUACGUACAAGCAGUGGGAGCACAGGUUUACCUGUGUGACUGCGUACCUUUUGUAUAAUGGGUCAGCGACUUAUAUUCUGUAGCAAGGUUAACCGUAUAGGGGAGCCGUAGGGAAACC